rnacentral:rRNA from 1 species
UGGGGAAUUUUGGACAAUGGGCGAAAGCCUGAUCCAGCCAUGCCGCGUGAGUGAAGAAGACCUUCGGGUUGUAAAGCUCUUUUAGUCGGAAAGAAAGAGUUGCAAUGAAUAAUUGUGAUUUAUGACGGUACCGACAGAAAAAGCACCGGCUAACUACGUGCCAGCAGCCGCGGUAAUACGUAGGGUGCGAGCGUUAAUCGGAAUUACUGGGCGUAAAGGGUGCGCAGGCGGUUUUGCAAGUCAGAUGUGAAAGCCCCGGGCUUAACCUGGGAAUUGCGUUUGAAACUACAAGGCUAGAGUGCAGCAGAGGGGAGUGGAAUUCCAUGUGUAGCAGUGAAAUGCGUAGAGAUGUGGAAGAACACCGAUGGCGAAGGCAGCUCCCUGGGUUGACACUGACGCUCAUGCACGAAAGCGUGGGGAGCAAACA